rnacentral:rRNA from 1 species
UUGGAAACGAGGGCUAAUACCGGAUAAUCUUGAGAAGUGGCAUCACUUUUUAAGGAAAGGUGGCCGAUGAGAAUGCUACCGAUUAUGGAUGGACCCGCGUCUGAUUAGCUGGUUGGUGGGGUAAAGGCCUACCAAGGCGACGAUCAGUAGCCGGCCUGAGAGGGUGAACGGCCACACUGGGACUGAGACACGGCCCAGACUCCUACGGGAGGCAGCAGUGGGGAAUCUUCCGCAAUGGACGAAAGUCUGACGGAGCAACGCCGCGUGUAUGAUGAAGGUCUUCGGAUUGUAAAGUACUGUCUUUGGGGAAGAGAAGAGUGCUUGAGAAUAUUGAGUACAAAUGACGGUACCCAAGGAGGAAGCCCCGGCUAACUACGUGCCAGCAGCCGCGGUAAUACGUAGGGGGCAAGCGUUGUCCGGAAUUAUUGGGCGUAAAGGGCGCGUAGGCGGAUAAUUAAGUCCGGUGUGAAAGAUCAGGGCUCAACCCUGAGAGUGCAUUGGAAACUGGCUAUCUUGAGGACAGGAGAGGAAAGUGGAAUUCCACGUGUAGCGGUGAAAUGCGUAGAUAUGUGGAGGAACACCGGUGGCGAAGGCGACUUUCUGGCCCUAUACUGACGCUGAGACGCGAAAGCGUGGGUAGCAAACAGGAUUAGAUACCCUGGUAGUCCACGCUGUAAACGAUGUUCACUAGGUGUUGGGGGUAUUGACCCUUCCAGUGCCGCAGCUAACGCAUUAAGUGAACCGCCUGGGGAGUACGGUCGCAAGAUUAAAACUCAAAGGAAUUGACGG